CGGUUAUAUUUUACACCAUUUAGAUUUCGGUUGUUACUGCGCCCUCUAGAGGUUGAUUGUGAAUUCAACUCGGAAUAUUCCGUAUUAAUAUAAAUUUGAAUUUAUUAUGGAACAGUUAUUUCCGGAUAAGUGAGGUCGAAUAUCAUUACCGUUGGGAAAUAUUUUAUAGUUUCUGGAUUUCUUGUAUUACUUUUCUUCUGUGUGGGAAGUUUCGUUUGACAACUGGUAGAUUCUGUGGUUAUGGAUUGUCAAAAUGGAGGUUAUCGGCGAUUUGAGAUAAUUUUGAAAGAGAUUUUUUUGGGAAGAAAAUUGGACUUGAAUUGGAGAAUAUAUGAUCUGGAAUCAUCCUUGUUAGAGGCGAUUAUUUCUUCAAUUUGGGUAAUUCCCUGUUUGGCUUAUGGUAUUGUGAAUAUUUCUGGGAAAUACGUUUUAUACGUGAUUAUAAAAUUUUCUUCCACAAGGUCCAUCUCUUGUACUGAAUUUACUCUGAAGAUCUGAGAGGAUUCGCUUCCCGCCGAUUAGUUCGAAUAACUGUUGAACUUACAAGAGGAAUAUCAAGAAGAUCCUUUUCCCUCGAACAACAACUGAGAGGGUCCUAGUGCCUGGGUAUUUUGGAGAAUCCUAGUGCCUGGUAAGAGUCUGGUUGGAUUUGAA